CUUGGCUCGGGGUCUCCCUAAUCAGAAGCUGAUCAUCUGUCUCUUAAGAUGCAUUAAAGCUUUACUGCAGAAGGAUCCAAGUGUCCUGUGUCGUUCUUGCUGGCGAGACGAUCGCGCGGGACAUCUGGUGCCGAAACCCGGGAACUUGUUGACAUUGCCGGCGCUUUGGGAGACCCCUCGGAGGAUGGGGCGGAUUCAGAACUGCAGGGAGGACGAAGAGAAUCCCCUGUGGAUCCCGGAAAGACUCACCCGAAGAGCCCCUUCAGACCCUCAAAAGUCGGAACUCCACCUUCUCCCCUCAAAUUAGUUGGGAGUUCAAUGAGACCUUCCCAGGCUCUUCCUGGAUUUCAUCAGCAGUUUCUUAUUUUAAGGAAUGGGUGGGGGUGGGACUUUUUGGCACAAUUCUCUGCAGUGGUGUGGUGUUUAUGCUUUGGACUGUGUGUAGACUCAAAACCCAAACAAAAAAAAAGAUAAGGUAGUGGUUGCACAGGCACUCGCUGCCCUAGAGAAUGGAAUCUCCCCCAGCAUUUGGCUAAGCAUGUUGAAGCAAUAGGUCGCCGACUGCUCAGCUCCUGCACCUCCGGAGGCUUGACCUCAUUGCACGGAAUAGAGUGAGCAAGGUUCGGCAGGCCAAAAGAGUUACAAGGCUAAGCACUACACAGAAAGGGCCUGCGGCUUUUCUUGUGGCUCUUCUGGGAGAUAUGUCAUCUUGCAUGAAGGUUAUAUGUCAUAAUGCUCUUCCCCCAGAAAAAGACAUAAGGACGGGUCUGGGCCUGCUCUGGACACAAAAUCUGAAGUCCUGCUCAAGACAAGGGGGAGAUGUGAGGAGCCGCACUCACAUUCGCCAUUACAAGAUGGCGCUGAUAUCCGCUGCUGGAUCAAGUAAACAACGUUGGUGCACAUGUGCCCAGUGUUUUUCCACUUGCCCAGUCUUGCGUCGUAUAGGGUGAUGAGUCAUCCACCUAUCCCAGCUGUACAAGCACUGCUCGGAGCUUAUGAGCCUUUAUAAGGGGAUGGGAUUCUUGGCUCGGGGUCUCCCUAAUCGGAAGCUGAUCAUCUGUCUCUCAAGAUGCAUUAAAGCUUUACUGCAGAAGGAUCCGAGUGUUCUGUGUCGUUCUUGUUGGCGAGACGAUCGCGCGGGACAUUCCCUGUCACCUAAGUCAAAUCCAUCUCAAAGCCAUGAUGGUCCCAGCAACACAUUCUGCAGAGUUAAUUCUAAUUUUGAUUUUCUCCAUUGAACAUUUGUGGUGCGAGGAAGGAAAUACAUUCUCAACCAUCUUAUGUUCACUGACUGGGAACCUAAGAAUUAAACUGGCAAGAGAAAAAACAGUGUUUAUUCACAUCCCCUGGAAUCCACAAAAAUAUGUAUCUCAAAG
rnacentral:lncRNA from 1 species